rnacentral:rRNA from 1 species
CCUACGGGAGGCAGCAGUGGGGAAUAUUGGACAAUGGGCGCAAGCCUGAUCCAGCCAUACCGCGUGGGUGAAGAAGGCCUUCGGGUUGUAAAGCCCUUUUGUUGGGAAAGAAAUCCAGCCGGCUAAUACCUGGUUGGGAUGACGGUACCCAAAGAAUAAGCACCGGCUAACUUCGUGCCAGCAGCCGCGGUAAUACGAAGGGUGCAAGCGUUACUCGGAAUUACUGGGCGUAAAGCGUGCGUAGGUGGUUAUUUAAGUCCGUUGUGAAAGCCCUGGGCUCAACCUGGGAACUGCAGUGGAUACUGGAUGACUAGAAUGUGGUAGAGGGUAGCGGAAUUCCUGGUGUAGCAGUGAAAUGCGUAGAGAUCAGGAGGAACAUCCAUGGCGAAGGCAGCUACCUGGACCAACAUUGACACUGAGGCACGAAAGCGUGGGGAGCAAACAGGAUUAGAUACCCUGGUAGUCCACGCCCUAAACGAUGCGAACUGGAUGUUGGGUGCAAUUUGGCACGCAGUAUCGAAGCUAACGCGUUAAGUUCGCCGCCUGGGGAGUACGGUCGCAAGCUGAACCUUAAAGAAUUGACGGCUGAGACGNGCGAGACGACGACGAGGGAGGAGG